rnacentral:rRNA from 1 species
CAAGCCGUAAAUGAUGCUUGCUAGGUGUUUGAUUCGCUUCUGCGGAUUGAGUGCCGAACCUAACGGAUUAAGCAAGCCGCCUGGGAAGUAUACUCGCAAGAGUGAAACUCAAAGGGAUAGGCGGGGGAACACACAAGCAGUGGAUUAUCUAGAUUAAUUGGAUAAUAAGCCAAAAAUCUUACCUAGGCUUGACAUACAUUGUGUCGUAGUGGAAACAUUACUAUUCGUAGCAAUACGAAGCGUUGUACAGGUGG